rnacentral:rRNA from 1 species
AUGGAAGAGAAGAAGCCGCGGCGGCAGGGAGCCGCAGUACGCGAUGGCAUCGUGCAGUACCCGCACCUCUUCAUCGCGGCCCUGGCGCUGGCCCUGGUCGUCAUGGACCCCUUCCACCUCGGCCCGCUGGCUGGGAUCGACUACCGGCCGGUGAAGCACGAGCUGGCGCCAUACAGGGAGGUCAUGCAGCGCUGGCCGAGGGACAACGGCAGCCGCCUCAGGCUCGGCAGGCUCGAGUUCGUCAACGAGGUGUUCGGGCCGGAGUCCAUCGAGUUCGACAGCCAGGGCCGCGGGCCCUACGCCGGGCUCGCCGACGGCCGCGUCGUGCGGUGGAUGGGGGACAAGACCGGGUGGGAGACGUUCGCCGUCAUGAAUCCUGACUGGUCGGAGAAAGUUUGUGCUAACGGAGUGGAGUCAACGACGAAGAAGCAGCACGGGAAGGAGAAGUGGUGCGGCCGGCCUCUCGGGCUGAGGUUCCACAGGGAGACCGGCGAGCUCUUCAUCGCCGACGCGUACUAUGGGCUCAUGGCCGUCGGCGAAAGCGGCGGCGUGGCGACCUCCCUGGCAAGGGAGGUCGGCGGGGACCCGGUCCACUUCGCCAACGACCUCGACAUCCACAUGAACGGCUCGAUAUUCUUCACCGACACGAGCACGAGAUACAGCAGAAAGGAUCAUUUGAACAUUUUGCUAGAAGGAGAAGGCACGGGGAGGCUGCUGAGAUAUGACCGAGAAACCGGUGCCGUUCAUGUCGUGCUCAACGGGCUGGUCUUCCCAAACGGCGUGCAGAUUUCACAGGACCAGCAAUUUCUCCUCUUCUCCGAGACAACCAACUGCAGGAUCAUGAGGUACUGGCUGGAAGGUCCAAGAGCGGGCCAGGUGGAGGUGUUCGCGAACCUGCCGGGGUUCCCCGACAACGUGCGCCUGAACAGCAAGGGGCAGUUCUGGGUGGCGAUCGACUGCUGCCGGACGCCGACGCAGGAGGUGUUCGCGAGGUGGCCGUGGCUGCGGACCGCCUACUUCAAGAUCCCGGUGUCGAUGAAGACGCUGGGGAAGAUGGUGAGCAUGAAGAUGUACACGCUUCUCGCGCUCCUCGACGGCGAGGGGAACGUGGUGGAGGUGCUCGAGGACCGGGGCGGCGAGGUGAUGAAGCUGGUGAGCGAGGUGAGGGAGGUGGACCGGAGGCUGUGGAUCGGGACCGUUGCGCACAACCACAUCGCCACGAUCCCUUACCCGCUGGACUAG